UACGUAGGGUGCAAGCGUUGUCCGGAAUUAUUGGGCGUAAAGAGCUCGUAGGCGGUCUGUUGCGUCGGCUGUGAAAACCCGGGGCUCAACUCCGGGCCUGCAGCCGAUACGGGCAGACUAGAGUUCGGCAGGGGAGACUGGAAUUCCUGGUGUAGCGGUGAAAUGCGCAGAUAUUAGGAGGAACACCGGUGGCGAAGGCGCCGCUCUGGGCCGAAACUGACGCUGAGGAGCGAAAGCAUGGGUAGCAAACAGG
rnacentral:rRNA from 1 species